UGGGGAAUCUUAGACAAUGGGGGCAACCCUGAUCUAGCCAUGCCGCGUGAGUGAUGAAGGCCUUAGGGUUGUAAAGCUCUUUCAGCUGGGAAGAUAAUGACGGUACCAGCAGAAGAAGCCCCGGCUAACUCCGUGCCAGCAGCCGCGGUAAUACGGAGGGGGCUAGCGUUGUUCGGAAUUACUGGGCGUAAAGCGCACGUAGGCGGACUGGAAAGUUGGGGGUGAAAUCCCGGGGCUCAACCUCGGAACUGCCUUCAAAACUAUCAGUCUGGAGUUCGAGAGAGGUGAGUGGAAUUCCGAGUGUAGAGGUGAAAUUCGUAGAUAUUCGGAGGAACACCAGUGGCGAAGGCGGUUCACUGGCUCGAUACUGACGCUGAGGUGCGAAAGCGUGGGGAGCAAACA
rnacentral:rRNA from 1 species